AAACGAAACAGGAACAAAACAUGUGAACACUCCAAAAGUGAACACGUUUUUACACCGGAUAUCAGUGGAUACGAUUCGCUAGUUAUUAGCAGACCCGAGGACAACUACCAGGAAUUAAACACAGUCACUGCCGAUCGAUGAACGAUAAUUAUGUCACCACUAACUAUCUGACAUAUUUUGUUUGUAUUAUUUGUAAAUAUGUGCAUUGGAGCAUUCACUUUUGAAAGCCAGCACUAACAUUUUCAUUUUUGUGUCUCAUCCAUACGCUUGCGCUUACACGUGUAUGCGAGAAUUGUCGAGAAUGCCUUGGUCGAUUUAAAAAUUGAUUCAUUUCAGACGUAUUACAGAAUACAGGGAGAUAUUCAUCGCCCGUUAUAUUUUCGCCCCUUUCACACUCGUCAGCGGGUAAAUUUAAGACUAUGCGCACUCUAAUGUCUCAAAGUAUCUCUUUAAGAACACAACUGUGUUUCAGCGAAUUUAAGAUGGAGCGAAACUAUUUGGAGAUAAAGAAGGGAGAAACUUAUAUGGGGCAAAAAUAUACAUGUAAACAGUAUUAUAGAUUAAGUAAGAAUAAACUUUUUAUAAUGUAUGGUUUUGACACAGCCUGAAGCAAAGCUAUAUAUCAAUUCAAAUCUAUCUUGACAAUAACAGAUUGCACUGAUAAAAAAUAUGUACUAACUAGGAACAUGUUAAGACGGUUGCAAAAGUGGAUGGAAGUACAACAGUCUUUAGAAAGUACAUUCAUUAAAUUCUACAGACAAUGAACAUGUUUAUAUUAGCACUGUUUUAUUCCAUAUUCAGUCGGCUUAAUACUUUCUUUGCUUGCUUACUUUUCCUGCCUAUGUGACAAAUGUAGCAACGGCUAAAAGAUUUUCAUACAUUCAGCACAUUUUUAAAAAUUGUAGUUCAGAAUUACAAAAAUGAUUUACAUACCUGUAUUAUAGUCUAAAUAAUGCUAUUGUUUGAGUCUGAAAGAUGAAAAAUAUCCAUAAAUUGAUUAUCAUACAUGACACUAUUUUUCCAAAAAUUUAGUUAAAGGUGAUGGAAAAUCUUCUUCAUACCGGUAUGCUGUGGUAGCAGCUAUCUCAGUGUCAAUAAUAUUGAACGUCGUGCAGACGACAAAAGGUAAAACAAAAGAAGAACAAGACAUGUGAACAAACCAAUAA